rnacentral:rRNA from 1 species
AACGAACGCUGGCGGCAUGCCUAACACAUGCAAGUCGAACGAUCCCUUCGGGGAUAGUGGCGCACGGGUGCGUAACGCGUGGGAACCUGCCCUUGGGUUCGGAAUAACAGUUAGAAAUGACUGCUAAUACCGGAUGAAGUCUUCGGACCAAAGAUUUAUCGCCCAGGGAUGAGCCCGCGUAGGAUUAGGUAGUUGGUGAGGUAAAGGCUCACCAAGCCGACGAUCCUUAGCUGGUCUGAGAGGAUGAUCAGCCACACUGGGACUGAGACACGGCCCAGACUCCUACGGGAGGCAGCAGUGGGGAAUAUUGGACAAUGGGCGCAAGCCUGAUCCAGCAAUGCCGCGUGAGUGAUGAAGGCCUUCGGGUCGUAAAGCUCUUUUACCCGGGAUGAUAAUGACAGUAGCCGGAGAAGAAGCCCCGGCUAACUUCGUGCCAGCCGCCGCCGUAACAC